UUUGAUGUCAAAAUGUCAUACAUUAUGAGGAAAAAUUAUGCAUAAAGGCUGACUAGUCCUAGUCGGUUGUAGGUAUUGUCUUAGGGUCAUAACAUGGGGUUCACGUUCUCAAUCGUGGUGACUCCCCGCAUCUUCAUUUAAAUCAGCCAUCUCACAAGGUGUGAGAUACUGCGAAGGAAUUUUAGGGAUGUGUCCUAAGGAAUGAUCUAAAGUUGUACGACUUAAUCAACCGGUAUCGUCCAUAUUCCACUUUAGCAUGCAAAAUAUUUUUCUCCCUUUUUUAAAAAAAAAAU
rnacentral:lncRNA from 1 species